CAGAAAAAUCAACCCUGUGACAUGUGCCACAUUGCCCAGCUCAUCCUAGAGUAGGGAGACAGAAGUUGUGCAUCCAGAAGUGUUUCCCGAGCACUGUGCAGAGAGUAGGCUACUGACACAGACAGCAAUGUGGUGCUCAGUGGUGAGGCUGAGGUAGGCUGAAAUGCAUGCAGGAGGGAGCAGAGGAGACAGAGAAAGAGGGGAAGCAAGCAGAGAUAGAGGUUAGUACUGUGGUUCCCAAACCUGGGGACUGGGUGCCAUGGGGGGUCCACUGAGAAAAUCUGUACUAAUCUAAUCAAACAAGUUAAAACAAAAAAAAGAUGUGGAUAUGUUCAUAUUGAAACACAUGGCCUAUCUUCGCUAUAGGCCUAGAUUGAAAUGCAAACAAUACAGUUCUAAAAAAAGGUCAUACGUUUUCGUUUCGUCAAUGAUGCUAUGUGUCAGUUUGAAUAAUUUCUCUCCUCAUUCCGGGGUAUUACAUUACAAUUGUAUAGCUAUUAGGCUAUGUGUUUGUAGAUCGACUGAAGUGAACGAACCUACUGCAGCCAAUGUGACAAUUGCUGGAGUAAUUUUUCCUUGUUUUUGCUGUUCUCCUAAUAGCAUUUUUAAAAUGUGUUUAAUUGUAUAGAAAUUCAGUAAAUACACUUCAACUUCCAAAUACACCCAAUAAAACUCAAACCCUGGUUACCGCCCUGCUGGUUAGAGGACAAUUUGUAGAAAACAGCUAGCUACAUUUUGAAGUGUUGCAUUUCGAGUCAAGUGGGUGGCCAACGUGGUAAGUCUAACUUAAUACUUUUUUUGUUAAUCACUUUCAUCAAUAUCGCGCUGAAAAAAAUAGAACAUGGGGCAAACGUUUAGGGUGUAGCGCUGUUUAAACUAACACUAUUCAAACGGCACACAGAAACUUGGAAUAACCUAUACAUGGUUGGUUAGAUGAGAACUUGUAGAAGGCUUAUAUCUAUAUUUUGGAUGUUGAUUUAGGGAGGCUGCCAUCACGGAAAAGGGAACAGACCACUUUUUUUGUUAACUUAAAUUAAUCAAGACACGGCAUAUACAGUGAUAACGGUGGGCUGAUAUUUAAGUAAUAGUUUGACUGUCAAAUCGAUGUAUUGGUUUGUGGCAUGCAACUUUUAUAGACCGC
rnacentral:lncRNA from 1 species